UCAGAUUCAUUUAAGGGGCCUGAGGUGUUGGUGCUGCCCAUCAAGGUAUAUAACUUGUGGUCUCAGAGUAUUUUAAGGUUUCUGGUAAGCAUUUUUUACAGUAUGAAGUAUAAAACGUUUUCCUGUCCAUCUUUCACAGUGCCUCUGUAUAAAAAGACAUAUUUCCAAAAUGAUCAGUGCACCAGGUCUCUGGAUUGCAAAUCUGUUGCAUUGUUGUUCACACCCUUGGGCAAAAAGGGAAACAUUUCCAUGGAAACAAGGCUUGUGGAUCACAGCUAUCGCUGGCUAUAUAGUCGCAUCAGUAUGCUGGAAAGUCACACAUUCUACAAAAAUGUCAUGAUACAUCUCCAUGGAAUUGUCACCAGCAAGGCUGCCAUACUGUGCUGUCUCCCCAUCAAUCUCCCCAUCUCCGAUCAAUAAAUCUCAUUUCUAA